rnacentral:rRNA from 1 species
GGGGGAAUAUUGCACAAUGGGCGCAAGCCUGAUGCAGCCAUGCCGCGUGUAUGAAGAAGGCCUUCGGGUUGUAAAGUACUUUCAGCGGGGAGGAAGGUGUUGAGGCUAAUAACCUCAGCAAUUGACGUUACCCGCAGAAGAAGCACCGGCUAACUCCGUGCCAGCAGCCGCGGUAAUACGGAGGGUGCAAGCGUUAAUCGGAAUUACUGGGCGUAAAGCGCACGCAGGCGGUCUGUCAAGUCGGAUGUGAAAUCCCCGGGCUCAACCUGGGAACUGCAUUCGAAACUGGCAGGCUAGAGUCUUGUAGAGGGGGGUAGAAUUCCAGGUGUAGCGGUGAAAUGCGUAGAGAUCUGGAGGAAUACCGGUGGCGAAGGCGGCCCCCUGGACAAAGACUGACGCUCAGGUGCGAAAGCGUGGGGAGCAAACA